rnacentral:rRNA from 1 species
GAUGAACGCUGGCGGCGUGCCUAAUACAUGCAAGUCGAGCGAACAGACGAGGAGCUUGCUCCUCUGACGUUAGCGGCGGACGGGUGAGUAACACGUGGAUAACCUACCUAUAAGACUGGGAUAACUUCGGGAAACCGGAGCUAAUACCGGAUAAUAUAUUGAACCGCAUGGUUCAAUAGAGAAAGACGGUUUUGCUGUCACUUAUAGAUGGAUCCGCGCCGCAUUAGCUAGUUGGUAAGGUAACGGCUUACCAAGGCAACGAUGCGUAGCCGACCUGAGAGGGUGAUCGGCCACACUGGAACUGAGACACGGUCCAGACUCCUACGGGAGGCAGCAGUAGGGAAUCUUCCGCAAUGGGCGAAAGCCUGACGGAGCAACGCCGCGUGAGUGAUGAAGGUCUUCGGAUCGUAAAACUCUGUUAUUAGGAAAGAACAAAUGUGUAAUUAACUAUGCACGUCUUGACGGUACCUAAUCAGAAAGCCACGGCUAACUACGUG